rnacentral:miRNA from 1 species
UAGCCCCUGACUUCAACAUGAG